rnacentral:misc_RNA from 1 species
GAGUUCAUGCCCGCAAGGGUAGACCUCCCACCCGUGUCUAUGUCUACUUUGUUGCUUUGGCGGGCCGCCGCAAGGCCCCGGCCCCGCGCCGGGCCGCGCCCGCCAGAGGACCCCUAAACUCUGAAUGUUAGUGUCGUCUGAGUACUAUAUAAUAGUUAAAACUUUCAACAACGGAUCUCUUGGUUCU